rnacentral:rRNA from 1 species
UACGGAGGGUGCAAGCGUUGUCCGGAAUCACUGGGCGUAAAGGGCGCGUAGGCGGCUCGGUAAGUAGGGGGUGAAAUCCUGCGGCUUAACCGCAGGGCUGCCUUCUAAACUGUCGAGCUCGAGCACGGUAGAGGCAGAUGGAAUUCCCGGUGUAGCGGUGGAAUGCGUAGAGAUCGGGAAGAACAUCGGUGGCGAAGGCGGCCUGCUGGGCUCUUGCUGACACUGAGGCGCGACAGCGUGGGGAGCAAACAGG